AGGAAUUUGUAUCUCAGUGAAAACCUUUAUAUUUUCUAUCAUGUGCUUUUCUCCGAUUACUCCUGAAACCCCAUCUCCUCCAUAUUUCCUUCCAAAAUGGUUUCAGGAGUAUUCAAAUUGUCCAUGUGGCAACUGACAGCAUUACCGAAUCCCCACAAGAUGAAGGCUGAACAUCUUCUGUUUCUGAUCACAACCGGAAUUCUACUGUGGCUCCUGUGACUAUCUUAAAGAGUGCUAGAGGAGUGUCUUCAUCUUGUUGAUUUUAUAUCCCAUCUCUGCUAAUUUACAUGGAAACUAUUGAAACUUCUGAAGAUGGGAGUGAUUAUCUGAGCUGCAGUUUGGCACCUGAGAGAUGGACCGAAGAGAAAGGUAUCCAGGAGAGAUGGAAUUAACC
rnacentral:lncRNA from 1 species